UACGCCUUGGGCUACCACAUGCUACAGUGGUCGGUACAAUUAGCAGCCACUGGGUGACCUGAGCGAAUCUCUAAAACCGGUCACAGUUCGGAUCGGAGUCUGCAACUCGACUCCGUGAAGCUGGAAUCGCUAGUAAUCGGAUAUGAGCCAUGAUCCGGUGAAUACGUUCCCGGGCCUUGUACACACCGCCCGUCAAGCCAUGGAAGCUGGGGGUGCCUGAAGUCGGUGACCGCAGGGAGCUGCCUAGGGUAAAACUGGUAACUAGGGCUAAGUCGUAACAAGGUAACCAAGGCAAAUUCUUAAGGAGGCAGCAGAGAGGAAUAUUGGACAAUGGGCGCAAGCCUGAUCCAGCCAUGCCGCGUGCAGGAUGACGGUCCUAUGGAUUGUAAACUGCUUUUGUACAGGAAGAAACACUUGCUCGUGAGCAAACUUGACGGUACUGUAAGAAUAAGGAUCGGCUAACUCCGUGCCAGCAGCCGCGGUAAUACGGAGGAUCCAAGCGUUAUCCGGAGUCAUUGGGUUUAAAGGGUCCGUAGGCGGUCAGGUAAGUCAGUGGUGAAAGCCCAUCGCUCAACGGUGGAACGGCCAUUGAUACUGUCUGACUUGAAUUAUUAGGAAGUAACUAGAAUAUGUAGUGUAGCGGUGAAAUGCUUAGAGAUUACAUGGAAUACCAAUUGCGAAGGCAGGUUACUACUAAUGGAUUGACGCUGAUGGACGAAAGCGUGGGUAGCGAACAGGAUUAGAUACCCUGGUAGUCCACGCCGUAAACGAUGGAUACUAGCUGUUGGGCGCAAGUUCAGUGGCUAAGCGAAAGUGAUAAGUAUCCCACCUGGGGAGUACGUUCGCAAGAAUGAAACUCAAAGGAAUUGACGGGGGCCCGCACAAGCGGUGGAGCAUGUGGUUUAAUUCGAUGAUGCGCGAGGAACCUUACCAAGGCUUAAAUGUAGAUUGACCGGUUUGGAAACUGACUUUUCGCAAGACAAUUUACAAGGUGCUGCAUGGUUGUCGUCAGCUCGUGCCGUGAGGUGUCAGGUUAAGUCCUAUAACGAGCGUAACCCCUGUUGUUAGUUGCCAGCGAGUCAUGUCGGGUACUGUAAAACGACGGCCAGUGCAAACUGCGAGGAAGGUGGGGAUGACGUCAAAUCAUCACGGCCCUUACGCCUUGGGCUACACACGUGCUACAAUGGCCGGUACAGAGAGCAGCCACUGGGUGACCAGGAGCGAAUCUCUAAAACCGGUCACAGUUCGGAUCGGAGUCUGCAACUCGACUCCGUGAAGCUGGAAUCGCUAGUAAUCGGAUAUCAGCCAUGAUCCGGUGAAUACGUUCCCGGGCCUUGUACACACCGCCCGUCAAGCCAUGGAAGCUGGGGGUGCCUGAAGUCGGUGACCGCAAGGAGCUGCCUAGGGUAAAACUGGUAACUAGGGCUAAGUCGUAACAAGGUAACC
rnacentral:rRNA from 1 species